AAGACCUUGCGCUCUAGGAGCGGCCGAUGUCGGAUUAGCUAGUUGGUGGGGUAAAGGCCCACCAAGGCGACGAUCCGUAGCGGGUCUGAGAGGAUGAUCCGCCACACUGGGACUGAGACACGGCCCAGACUCCUACGGGAGGCAGCAGUGGGGAAUUUUGGACAAUGGGCGCAAGCCUGAUCCAGCCAUGCCGCGUGAGUGAAGAAGGCCUUCGGGUUGUAAAGCUCUUUCGGCGGGGAAGAAAUUGCUUGGGCUAAUACCCUGAGUAGAUGACGGUACCCGAAUAAGAAGCACCGGCUAACUACGUGCCAGCAGCCGCGGUAAUACGUAGGGUGCGAGCGUUAAUCGGAAUUACUGGGCGUAAAGCGUGCGCAGGCGGUUUUGUAAGUCAGAUGUGAAAGCCCCGGGCUUAACCUGGGAACU
rnacentral:rRNA from 1 species